CAGCUCAUCUGGUAUAAAAACAUACUGUAUUUCCGACAUUACUACGUUUUUAUACAAGAUUAGCC